rnacentral:snRNA from 1 species
GUACUUGCUUCAGCAGCACAUGUACUAAAAUUGGAAUGAUACAGAGAAGAUUAGCAUGGCCCCUGCUCAAGGAUGACACACAAAUUCGUGAAACAUUCCAUAUGUUU